rnacentral:rRNA from 1 species
AUGGCGCCAGCGCCUAGCCCGUCACCUGCCCCGGCGGCGCCCGGCAUUGCUACCCCCGAGGCGUGGCCGGCGGCCUCUGCCGACGCCGAGCGCGCGUUCACCUGGCUCAGCGCCAACGCCGUACUCGUUCUCGCGAUCCUCGUUUGCGGCCUCUUCGCCACGAUCGCGCUCCACGUCGUCCUGCAGUCCUUGCUACGCGUCACCGGCCGCGCGUGGUUCGGCGCUGGCGGCGGCCUGCAUGAGCCGGCUCCGCGCGGGGGUGGAAGGCGCGGCGGCAGGAACCGGGGGGCCCUGGCGCUCCCGUGCCUGGCUUACUCGGCGGGGCUCGAGCUGGCCGGGUCGUCGCGGUCGGAGUGCGCCAUCUGCCUCGCCGAGUUCGUGCGCGGGGAGCAGGUGCGCGUGCUGCCGCGCUGCAACCACGGGUUCCACGCCCUCUGCAUCGACCGGUGGCUGGCGGCGCGGCCGACGUGCCCCACGUGCAGGCAGGCGCCGUUCGCCGAGGCCGACGAGAGCGUCCUGGCCGCGGACUGUGCACGACCGGCGCCCGCUAUCGCGGUGGUGCGGGUGAUUGUAGACGGUGGCGGGAGGCGGCAUGUGUCGAUUUAG